GGUACCUAGAUCAUUUGAUUGUGGAAUGAAAAUAUGGUAAAGCAGCUUCUCUAUGUCCCAAUUUGCUGCGAGGAUCAGCUUCAGCAUGGGAGAGAUGGGUAUUUCACUUUGCCCACCUCCGUCAACUUCCUGUUUUGGUUCCUUACAUGCCAACAGAAAACCCUAGACUACGUGAUACUGCUUAUGAGGUUGCCCUUGUGGCAUUGGCUACAAAUCCAUCUUAUCAUAAGGAUCUCUU